GGUGGGUUACUGUUCAUAGGCACUGUUCCCAAGCAACUCCUUAUGAAUAGUGUACUUCUGCUUUUGCCCCCGCUGCCUGACCCGGAUUUUACUCUAUUCCCCUGCCACCUGUUGAUAUGCUGAGCUGACAGAUAGUAGAGUUGUUGCAUGCCCUUCUUUCUCUACGCAAAAGAGAGCUUAUUUGCCUCGCAAAAAGAGGGGGAGAGAAUUGGGUCUGUCUGCUUCGUUGAGGAGAGACACAGUACAACUCACUUCGAUUUAAGAGGUAUUUUGAUUGAUAUCUCAGGUUUGAGCCUUCAUGCAGCUGUAAUUUUUUUGUUUGAUGUUUUGAGAUUUGGGCUUCUGGAGGAUACGCCGUCAAACAGAUGGUGCUGGGAGUCGGAACGAAAGUGAUCGGAAAAGGCUAGGUUCUCCAGUGAGGAGCCACUAGCAAUCUACUCCAGAAGCAAGGUGUAGCAGCCUGCCACUACUGCGUGUUUUGAUUACAUCUACGUGUUUGCUCUGGAAAAUGGACAUCUGCUUCUUUGUUCUACACAAAAAGAGAGAGAGAGAGAGAGGGGUGGAGAAAGGGAAUGGGUUCUGCUUCCGCAUCUAGGCCGAUUGAGGGUUAAGGGACUCAUCCAAUUCGCAAUAGCAUCAUGUUAUCAAAAUGAACAUGAACUAAGAAUCAGCGAAUAUGGAAGAGGAGGGAUUUACUUGAUGUCCUGCAAACAUUGGUGUUACGCCAUUUGCAGAGAAGAGUGUGCAGGCUUGCGAUCGCUGUUGAGGUCCAAAGACCAAGUUUCCUGCAGGUGUUUAGAGAGGUACAGGUAGGAACAUUCCAACAAAAAAUUGGACGCUGCUGUUGGCAAAACUGGUGGUGAGAAAUGACAAUCGUUGUCUGAUGUUGAGAAAGAACCCUACUAGGCGAAGGCAGAGAAGAGGAAGGUUGAAUACAACAAGAACAAGGAUGUGUACGACAAGAAACAAGCAAGUGUUUCUGUUUUAAUUGUUAAUCUCCAGCAAAUCUGAUAUAACUCCCCUAGGUCCACUCCUUGACAAGACUGAACUUUAUUUCACCAAGAAUCAAUGACAAGAUGGACCUAUUUGAAGAGAAGCAAGUUGUUGGUUAGAUGAUAGCAACAAUUGUGCAUUCAACCAACUGCGAGUUGUCAAAAAACAAUAAUGCAGACAUUCAAGAUUAUGACAUGAAGGUCGGAUGGUAAUAUACUGUGUUAAUUAGGGUCAUGUUAUCAGUCACAGAGAAUUGAACUUUGCUUCCUCAUAAGUUGGUCCUACACUGUUCCUAAGCACGGUUCAUUACUGUUCACCUGCGAAAUGCCAGUUCUGCCCUCGAGUUGUAUACAGAGAUAAAAAAAGGCGUCAGUUAUAUGGUGUGUUCUGGAAGCCUUCAUCGUGUUUAAUCACAUGCAAAUCGAUCUAUUUUCCUCUUUCUCUCGCCAGUCGCAGUGAACCCAAUCCAAAUCGCUCUUGCUCUCACUCGAAUCAACAAAUUUCUCUCGCUCCUCGCACAGAAAUCCAAAACCGAGAUAGAGAUACAUUUCCUGCUCAAAAUCUCAGACUUGCUACCGGUCAGUUUAUUGUUUUGAGAUCGAUCGGCUUUGGUGGAAUCUUGAAUCACCAAUUGCCAGCUGGGUUCAAAUCUUCUUCAGUUGCUUCUGAGAUCAACAUCGGAGCAAACCCAGACUCGAUUACGGAAUCCAUCAGUUGAGGUUAAAGACCCACUUCAGAUUGUUAAGGAUUCUGCCGCAUUGAAUGUGUUUAGAGAAGUGAAGGUGUCUGAUAACAAGAAGAUUAUUGUAUCAGUGGUCUGCAGAUCUGGAAAUCUAGGGCUACCAAAAGGGAGUAAGAAAUGCAGACACAAACUAAACUCAUCAAGAGGAACGACUCCAUGAUUGGCUCUCUCUUUCUCACUGCCAAUUUGAGAAUAAACAGUCUUCGCUCUGCUCAAAUGUAUUUCCCUAGACUCUUUUAUGCCAGCAAAAGUAACACUUUGUAGCUGAUAAGUGAACAAAGAAUUAAUACCAAACAAGAGUCAUUUAUAUGUGCAGUGAUGCCAGGAGUAGCUCUACACAGGUGGACUUCUCUUUAUUAGUAGUAACUUGCAGUAUGUUACAAGCUCUCGACCUUGGUGCUAUUCAUCUUCUCGAAAUCCAUAAGUAGUACACAUCUGAAGCAACAGACUACACAUCUGAAGAAGGACUCAUAUGGAAUGAUUGGUUCAAUCUUAAAUUGUAAGAUAUGUUCACCAGAACUAACCACUUUUUAAUUUGUAUAUAAAUUAUAUCUUUGGUUAGAAUAUCUCUGUCUUUUGGAAAAUGUAAAUACAGAAGCUUGGCUUAAAUACCAGCUCCUGUUCAAGACGUCCAUAUUUGAAAUAUCUAUAUAUUCAAGUCUGGUCAAAAUUUGUAAAACAACAACAUAUUCGGUCAAUAUUUCUUGGUUUAGGGUUACUACUCCAUGCGUAUAAAAUUAAAAAUUCAUGGAAAAAAAAAAAUACUAACCCGCAGCAUCGCGCGGGCAAAUUUUCUAGUAUAUACUAAAGAUGAGUUCACUGUUCAUAAGGCAACAGUGCCUGGGGCCAGAAAAGAUGGUUCUGCCCUCCUUUGAGAUCUUUAUGUUCUGCUGUCUAUCGAUCUGAUCUUCUUCUCUUUUCCAAAGCAGUCUACUCUAAUCCCUCACCCCCAAGUUAAAAUUCACCUCAAAACCCAAAAAUCACUACAAAAAAGAGCAACAGAGAAGCCUUUAUCAACAUCAGUCUCUCUCCUUCGCCGACAUCAACAGCACCCAUCAACAUCCCCAUCACUCAUAACUUGCUUCAGUUCUAUCUCAAAAACCGAAAUCCGUCGGUAACAAUAGAGAAGUGAACAAUAAUUUGGUCUUCUAUGUGUGAAAGGUUAUGUGAAAUUUGGACAUAACAGAGAAGACAAUGGAGUAGUGCAUCAUGAAUGGGCCUCCGCAGCUCAGUGAGUUCAUUAGCUUUUGAACAACCAUUUGAUUAGCUUUGGAAAAGGUUGAAGAAGGCAGAGGACCUUGGUUUACAGUUAAACAGAGCCAUAGACCUCAGUGAGAAUAACAGUCAUAUACCAUAGGAUGAGAAAGGACCUCAGCAGCAGAUGGAAGGUCAGAAAAAUUGAAGAAGAGCUGUUAGUGGUAGUAGCAAAGAUCAUAUUGUCAGUAUUGGCGGGUGGGUUUCUGCUGGUGUUCUCACAUCUCUAUGAGCAACUUAUAUUGAGGCCUAAAGGGCUAAGAUCAAAGCUCCAAAAGCAAGAAAUUAGAGGGCGUCCUCCUUCAUUCCUCUUGGGGAAUAUCCUUGCAUAACGCCUUCAAAGCAAGGUCCACUCAACAGCAACAAAGACUACAGAUCCUUAAAAGCCUCAGCAUGAUGAUCGUCAUGUACCUUCUAUUUGUCACCAAUGACCUUCAAAAAUCUUCCCCCACGGAGUGAAGACGUGAAUAUGAAAUGCAUAUGAGUUCAGAAAAGUAUUCCAGUACUGAAGUAGAUGUUGAGACCUUUCAGCUCUUGCUCAAGCAUGAAAAACUUUCCUGCAUCAGCCCAGAAACCUAUAAUCCAACUGCAUGAUUUUCUGAAUGGAGUUGGAGACAUUCGAGCACGGCACACAAUUCUAUUGUAGAAUCACAAUCACCCUCAGUGCCCACAACAAUGUAGCUGCUAGCAGCGGUGAAGAGUUCUUGGACCAAUUGAAGAAGUCAGAAGGGAAACUUGAUGUAUAAGCUUGAAGUGUUCUUGAACUCUUGCGUACUUCAUGGCUGGUAGGAGGCAAUUGCCACUCUACAAAGCAUGAAGGUGACGGACUUUCAGUUCAAUACACAAAUGACCCUUGGGGUUGUACGAAAUGUUAGCCGAACAUGUGAAAGAUCUGUUUGAAAAUAAGAUCUUCACUUAAUUGAUUACUAUUAGUUGUUAAUUCACUUGGAAAGAAAUAACUUGAUGUUGUACAACGUAAAUGCAGUUAUUUGGCAACAACUUUCCGUUUUUAUUUAA